rnacentral:rRNA from 1 species
AUUGAACGCUGGCGGCAGGCCUAACACAUGCAAGUCGAGCGGAUGAAGGGAGCUUGCUCCUGGAUUCAGCGUCGGACGGGUGAGUAAUGCCUAUGAAUCUGCCUGGUAGUGGUGGAUAACGUCCUGAAACGGGCGCUAAUACCGCAUACGUCCUGAUGGAGAAAGUGGGGGAGCUUCGGACCGCACGCUAGCAUAGGAGCCUAGGUGGGAUUAGCUAGUUGGUGGGGUAAAGGCCUACCAAGGCGACGAUCCGUAACUGGUCUGAGAGGAUGAUGAGUCACACUGGAAAUGAGACACGGCCCAGACUCCUACGGGAGGCAGCAGUGGGGAAUAUUGGACAAUGGGCGAAAGACUGAUCCAGCCAUGCAGCGUGUGUGAAGAAGGUCUUCGGAUUGUAAAGCACUUUAAGUUGGGAGGAAGGGCAGUAAGUUAAUACCUGGCUGUUUUGACGUUACCAACAGAAUAAGCACCGGCUAACUUCGU